AUCGUUCAUUCUCAUUCUUGCUAGCCCACAAUACCAUCAACCGACAAUAAAGCGUUCAUGCACUCGCCAAGCGGCGAAGCGCCAAUGUCCAGCAGUCCCACGUUAGACAUACAUCUUUAUGAGUGAUAUGAUCUGACAUGAUAUGAUGACAUACAUGAUAUGAUCACUCACUCAUAAAUAUGUAUGUCUAACGUGAAACCACAGACCGAUUUGUUAAUGAUCCUUCCGCAGGUUCACCUACGGAAA
rnacentral:misc_RNA from 1 species